AGUAACACGUGGGCAAUCUGCCCUUCACUCUGGGACAAGCCCUGGAAACGGGGUCUAAUACCGGAUAACACCGGCCUUCGCAUGGAGGCUGGUUGAAAGCUCCGGCGGUGAAGGAUGAGCCCGCGGCCUAUCAGCUUGUUGGUGGGGUAAUGGCCCACCAAGGCGACGACGGGUAGCCGGCCUGAGAGGGCGACCGGCCACACUGGGACUGAGACACGGCCCAGACUCCUACGGGAGGCAGCAGUGGGGAAUAUUGCACAAUGGGCGAAAGCCUGAUGCAGCGACGCCGCGUGAGGGAUGACGGCCUUCGGGUUGUAAACCUCUUUCAGCAGGGAAGAAGCGAAAGUGACGGUACCUGCAGAAGAAGCGCCGGCUAACUACGUGCCAGCAGCCGCGGUAAUACGUAGGGCGCAAGCGUUGUCCGGAAUUAUUGGGCGUAAAGAGCUCGUAGGCGGCUUGUCACGUCGGAUGUGAAAGCCCGGGGCUUAACCCCGGGUCUGCAUUCGAUACGGGCAGGCUAGAGUGUGGUAGGGGAGAUCGGAAUUCCUGGUGUAGCGGUGAAAUGCGCAGAUAUCAGGAGGAACACCGGUGGCGAAGGCGGAUCUCUGGGCCAUUACUGACGCUGAGGAGCGAAAGCGUGGGGAGCGAACAGGAUUAGAUACCCUGGUAGUCCACGCCGUAAACGUUGGGAACUAGGUGUUGGCGACAUUCCACGUCGUC
rnacentral:rRNA from 1 species